ensembl:lncRNA
GGGGCCCUGGAGCGUGGGCGCGAGCUCCGGCCGUCGGUCCCUGGCGCAGGGCGAGCGCAGCGGUGUCAGCCCCGGCCCCAGUCCGGGUCCCAUUCACAAGUCGGCGGCGGCUGCAAGCGGCCCCCGCGGCAUCUGCUAGCGACGCUCCCCUCGGCUGGCGGUGGCCGCGGAAUGAGCCGCCGAGCGCGCUAGUGGCAGGAAUGAGAAACCGGGGGGAGGUGGCGGGCUGGCGGGCGGGCGGGCGGGCGGGGGCGGGCGGGGGGGGGGGGGGGGGAGGAGGAGGAGGGAGGCAGCCGUUGGGAGGGAAGGAAAGGGCGGGGGACGGAGAGGAGCCGAGGCCGCGAGACGCGGCGAGCUGGGCCUCGCAGAGGCUGCGGGGGACGACCCUGUCCACGCCCCUCCCCCUAGGGGCCCCGAGAUGCCAACCCCUGGAUUCGUGGCCGCCCCUCCCGCCUGGGUCGCUGCACUCCGGCUCCCUUGGGGCUCAGACAGAGUCUAGAGCGACUGAAGUUGGGCUCCAGAGACGCACAGCCAAUCAGGGAGGGCGGCGGAGGGAAGCUGGGCAAGGAUGGGAGCCCCUUUUUCCUCCUUCACCCAAAUCCGCUCCAGCUGGUCGGGCUGGGCCCUUGCCCGGGAGGCCUGGAUGGUGGGCUGGGGGAAAGCAUCGUCCAAGCGGGGGAGGCAAUAGCGAAUUGUUCUACCUUCCGAAAAUCGCUCCACGUCGGCGGGUCCCCUCCCCCAUCCCUUGCAAACUCUGCUUGGGGCGCGGGCGAUGAAACCUGGGGGAGGGAGACUUCGGACUUGGGAAAAGCCACGUCUCCGUUCUCUACAAUUCUCCCCCACCCCCUCCUCCGAUGCCUCAUGUCUGGAGGGGGGGGCACGAGGAACGCUCCGCCAGGGUCGGCCUCAUGCGUCCCUCGGAUGCCUAGGCUUCCGCCUCCCGCAGGUACCAAGGGCCCCUGCCUGUAGCGUCACUUGUUGCCUCAGGCCCCCUCACUGCACGCCCGCCCGGCUCCGUGGAGAGUGCGGUUCUGCGGAAGACAGGCCCUGAGGGCGCAGUGCCCGCAUCCUCCCUCAGUCCUCCUCUUUACCCCUCAAGGAGGACCCGCUGGAGGGAGGGAGCCCGGGCCGGCUUCCUGGCCUUGCGUCGCCGGGAGAAAGGACCGGCAGGGCCGAGGCUUCAGGAUCCCGCCAGGGACUGGGCGGGGCGCUCUUGGUUCGGGGAGCGGAGUGGGGACCCGCACACUCUGCGGUCCAGAGGGUGGAAGGGAACGACUGUGACCUGGUGGGGACCCCUGGCUAGAACAAGUUUCCAGGGUGAGGGGUGGCGGUACAAGAAGAGGCAGAGGGAAGGUGAAGAAGCAAAUGCAUAAAGAGGGUAAAAAAUUCUCCAGGAGGGACGGGGAUGAGGAUGCGGAAGGAGGGGACAGUGACAGGCCCGCGAAGGAGAAGGGUAAGCGGGACGCGGAGGGCAGGCAGGCCCAGAGGAGUUAACGGAAAGGAGUUAACGAAAAGAAGGAAGAGAAAGCCUCGGACGUGCGCGAACGGGGAAGGGACGGAGAGCCAGGAGAGAGGGGGACCGAACCCCGCCCUCAGGCUCCGGGCCUCCAGCCCUGGGUCCCGGAGCGCGCCGAGCUUCCGGGGGAUCCGCGCGGCGCGGGGGCGGCGGGCGGGGCGAGGCUCUCCGGGUCCCACCUCCAGCCUCUCCGCCCGGCCCGCGUUCUUCUCGGCGACUCCGGGUUGCCGGCGGCGCCCGAUGCUGCCUCCCUCCGGCGUCCUGCGCGGAGCGGACGCAUCCUUCGUCCUCCGAGUGGCCAUGGCCUUUAAACUUCCCAGUCCUCGGCUGGGAGAGGGGUGUGCCAAGUUUUCAGCUGUGAGGUUCCCUUGCUCCUCUACCCCCGCCUCCCCUAAAGGCCUCCAAGGUGUCAAGCCUCUGGACACUGGAUGCGGCAACCCUCCCCUCUCCCCCCUCCAUACACAUGCCCUGGGCGAAGGAGUCGCGAGGCCACCUCCCCAGGCCAUCCCUUUUGUGAAUGACAGCAUCAGCGGAUUUUAAAAAAGAGGAUUGGGGAGAAGAAAAGAGACGGAAGAAGAGGAGAGGAGAAAAAAGGAAAUUGAAGCAGAGAAGUAACAUAUAAUAAUCCUAGGCUUAAGCUAGAUUUAUUUUGGGGAAAGAUGAUUGUUCCUGAAAUGUUCUAAUUUCUUGUGUAUCUAGCUAUCCACUGCUGAUUGUAAGGAUUGCAAUCGUCAAUGACAGAUUUGCUUGCUUGGUUCUUUCUCUGAUGAAUCCAUUUAAUUCUGUGGCCACUGUGCCUUUCAUAGGAAGAGCUGCCUCACAGUCACAUGAGAAUAGAUCAAUUUUUGUUUGGCUCAUACGCAUCUUCUCAAAAUGAAUUAAGUAGAGUAAGUAGAAGAACUUUAAUAGGAUUGGAAGAUCAAAGAUGGUGAGAAGAUUUAAGUAUAUCGUCAGUACAUCAAGAAUAAUAAAAUUAAAUGUGUCUGAAAACAGAUGAUUCUAAGCAAUUUUGAUAGAGAUAGUCUCUUCCUCUCAAGUAACUUAAAAACCCUAAUUGGAUGAGCUGAUUUGGACAGUCAUCCCAGCCCCAGUGAAAUAAAUGUAUGGAAAGUAUAUAAAAAAUCCUUGUGCCUAUUUUGUUAUAUUGAAGUUCUCUUCAUGUGUCGUAUAUUCUCCAGCCAUCUUUCAAGAUCUACUACCGCUAAGAAGUCUUUGUACAUUUCUCUGAUUGCUGGGGUUCGCUCUAAAGCUCCUACAGAAGUUCUCCUCUGCAUCUCAAGAUUAGAUUUGGAAUCAUGUGCUGUCUUGUACUACUGGGUUUUUUUUCCCUUUUGCAUUUACUUUCCUUUCUCACGUAGGUGGAAGGAAACGCACAUGGCAAAUUCCAGCGUUACUAGGGAAAUGCUGACUGGAGGCCCUCCAGUGACGUUACAGGGUAAUCUAAUUUUGCAUUCUUCGAAUUCAGUGUAUUGUGAUCUUCAGCUUCUCACUUCCAAGAAUUCAGUCCCAGAAAUGAUGAUCGAUUAGGACAUUUAUUGUGUUUUCCUAACACUUGAGUUAUCUCAAUGUUAAAUGGAGGCAAUCUGGACAAAGCAGAAGCUCACAGUCCCAACUACUUGUAAGGGAAUGAAGACAACUUCAUUCACCAGAAUUUCUCCUAAGUGGAGCCCCAUAUGUGUUUCAAAGAAAUGAAUAAUACGUGGAAGGGAUGGUGAGUGGCAAGAAAAUACUCAAGUGGAGAAAGAUGGCACCUAAAUUGCCUUCUCAAGGACACCACAGCUCCAGGAGAAUGUUUGGCUUUGACUGAGCACCUUGAAUGGUUGAGAGUUGAAAAACUGGGAGUCAGAGCCAAGGCAGAUCUAAGUUGUACUGGGCUGCUGUAUCAUACAACUUCAGGUGCUUCCACUGGCAUCUGAGCUAGGAGCUGACUGUGGAGAAGAGGAGUGUCUAAGGGAGAUUUUGUUUUUCACAUAAAUGCAAUAUCAGUUCUCCUCUUUAUUCUCCUCCCAAACACCAUCAGUAAGUGUCAUCAUGUUUGAUAAUGCUUUUAUGACAAUGGAUUGUUUUGGGGGGUGGGAUGUUAUAGAGGGGCUGAGUUAUAAAUCUGAGUGGUCAUUGGUGAAACCGAAUAUUUCUCUGCAGCUUGUAAACUAAAAGAGGAGAGGACAUUUAGGUUACACAUGAUUAUGGGAUAAUGAUAUCUAGCUUUGAGGUUGUUAAUAGGAUUAAACAAAAAGAUAACAAUAUAAAUACUCAACAUGUGUUUACUAUCUUCCUAUGGGAAAGCCAACUUUUAUCAACUACUCAUAAGACACUAAACAUGUUGAUGAAGUUAGUAACAAGGAGAAGUCUAAGAAGUGUGUGUGUGUGUGUGUGUGUGUGUGUAUGCUGGGAAUUGCAUGAAAAGACCUGCUGCAAUGUUAGAUUUUGGGGAGCUUCACAAAUGAAGAAGGAUAGCACAGGGAUGGUCCCACGUGGUCCAUGGCGUCAGACUCAUAGCCUGCGUGCCGUCCCUGCAACAGGAUUAGCAUUGUCCAAGGAGAGAGAGGUCCACAUGGGUGUGUCUGGACCCCCCCCACCACCACCCCCCGCAUACCUUGUGCACAUUGGGAAUCUGUCUCUCUCAUCUCUUGCUCCUCUCUCUUUUGGUAGCCAUAAUUUUCUUCAAAUAUGUUAACAUAAGCAAUUUUGCUACGUCCAAAUCUUUCUGUUGCCCAGGAGUCACUUAUUUCUCUGUGAUGAUCAUAUUUAUCAUUUAUUUUAUGUUCAGGUUUUUAAUCUCAGAGCUUGUCCUUAUUGUUGUCGCUAUUGUUGUUGAGACAAGAGACUGGCAACUUAUCAAAACCCCAACUGUAGGCAGCAUUCCCAAUGCAAAGUGUUAAGUUUCUUAGGAAAGGAAUUUUGCUUUUUUCAUUGUCUGCAUCCCCAG